GCGCUCUGCCCGCCGGCCCGGUGCCCCCGCCGCGGCUGCUGCUCCUGGCCGGGCCUCCGUGGGGGAGGGAGCCAUCCUGCCCCUCUGCUCGGCCCUGGUGAAGCCGCAUCUGGAGUGCUGUGUCCACUACCGUGCAAGGGUGUCCUGGAGCGGGUCCAGCGGCGGGGAACAAAGAUGAUGGGCGACUGGAGCAUCGCUUGUAUGAGAACAGGCUGAGGAAGCUGGGCCUGUUCAGCCCCGAGGAGACCGAGACAGGACCUCAUCAACGUCUAUCAGUAUUGAAGGGAGGGUGCCCAGAGGAUGGAGCCGGGCUCCGCUCGGUGGUGCCGAGCAGCAGGACAAGAGGCAACGGGCAGAGACCGAUGCACAAAAGUUCCAUUUGAAUAUAAGGAAGAACUUCUUUACCGUGCAAGUGACCGAGCACUGGAAAAAAUUGCCCAGAGAGAUCAAAGAUUCUCGUUCGCUGAUUAUUCAGGAACCUCCUGGAUACAGCCCCGUGCUCUGGAAUGACCCAGCUUGAGCAGGGAGGCUGGACCAGACAUCCCACCGUGCUCCCUUCCAGCCUGGUCCAUUAUGUUAUUCUGUAGCACUGUAGACACACAUGCACAUGGAGCUGUUUAAGUGACAGUCCAAAACCUUGGGAAAUGGGUGCUGGAGCCGCAGCACCCACAGUGUGGUAUGAGCUUGUGUGCUGCUCAUGCAUCCAGCUUUUUCUCUGAGGCUUUCCUUUUUUGCCCUCACAAAUAGUACCUAUUUGUAGACAAAAUUGCACGUGUCCUUAUUAGAGUAAGGACCGCAAAGGUGGUGAGGGCUCUGGAACAAUUUCUUAGGAGGGGAGAAUGAAGGAGCUCGGCCUGUUUGGUCUCGAGAAGACUGCAAGGGGAUCUCAUUAAUGCAUAUGAAUGUCUCAAAUGCAGGUGUCAAAAGGAUAAUGCCAGACACUUCAGUGGUGCCCAGUGACAGGAUGAGAAGCAAUGGCCAUAGACACAAGAAUUUCUACAACAAGACGAGGGAGAACUUCCAUUGAGGGUGGCAGACCACUGGAACAGGCUGCCGAGGGAGAGUCACCUGCUCCAGGGGGGUUGGAUUAGAUGAUCUUCAGAAGUCCUUUCCACCCCUAAGAAUUUGAUUCUGUGGUUCUGUAAAAGUGUGGAUGCCUCUAGCAUGCUUAAUUACCAUGAAUUCCUGCUGAGAGUCUGGCUGGCAGCGCUGCUGGAAGUUUUCCGUGAACUGCUGUUUAGGAUUGCUGUGUACUUUUAAGAGAUGUUUCGUGUCAUGCCAUGACCACCAGAAGCUGCUUAAAAGCCUACCAUGGGAUACAUCUUUCUUUUAUCAUCAGCAUAAGGAUUGUUCAAACCUUUAGAAGAGGAUUUCUCUUCUCAGUAGGGAUGGAGAUUUCCAGUUAAGCCAGACCAUAUGCCGAUUCCUGGAUUUCUUAUCUGUAAUCAGUCUUUCUUUGAUGUUGUUAAAGAUGUUUCCAUUAAAACUGCAGAAUAAUUCUGGUACUUCAUCAGUAUUCAUGUGCAGUAUGUAUUAUUAUGAGACUACUUACAAAAAUCAGUAAUAUAUUUCUUGCAGUGUUAAUGUUUGUGAUUCCCCACCCAUUUUAAACUAAGAGCAGCAUCGAGGAGAUGGCUGAUAACCUCUCAACACAUAAAAGCACUGAUAAGGUCUCCUGCAGACACUGUAAUUCAAAGUAGUCUGUGUGAACACAAAUCCUCCAUUAUUGACUUGCUGCUCAUUCCCUUAGUUCAGCAUAGCUCACAUUUCUACCAUUCUGAGUAGGUAACUUCUUCCUACUCAAAGAAUUCAGAUAAGUGUUCCUUGUUUCAAGGUCAGUUUAGAUACAGUUCCAAGACAUGAUCUGAGAAAUAAAUAAUAGGACAUGAUCUGUAUUCAGCAAAGCAUCUGAGCAGUGAUUGUUUACAGUAUAGGUGAGUCCUAAAGCUCAAGUACUUACCUCCAUGGCAGAGGAACUGAUGCAGCAGAGAUCCUUACUGGCACCAGGGAACAGCUUUCACCAUAUGUUGUUCACAAGAAAAACAUUUUUUUUUUUCCUGUAUAUUGCAGCUUGUCUAGUAUCUGUUCAAGUAGUGUAUUUAGAGAGAGUGUUUCUCUAGUAUAAGUAUAUGCUCUAAAAUGCUAGGAUUUGGUUCCAGUGCUUUCUUCCUUGCCAAUUCUUCUGGCUGUCAUUUAUAAUAAACAUAGUCACAAUAAGAAACACUGUCAUAAGAAAAUGCAGUAUACUGUCAUAAAAUAAAAUUAUUCUAGAAUAUUUUAUUGUAAAGAUUUAUAUUUUAAUACAACAUACAGCUAUUAAAAAUAACUGCAUAAUUGCUAAUUUCUACUGGCUAAGGGUUUGGUUUGGCAGAUUUUGAAGCUGCUUGCUAACUACUUGCUAUGGUUAGCUUACGUAAAGUAACUCAGUGGAAUCAGUUUUUAAACUUUUUAAAGCAACUUUUAAAUAGCUGCAGGGCAAUCUUAAAACAAAAUUAAACAAAACAAAAAAGCCAAGCAAACCUGAAAAACAGUACAAAAAUAUUUAAAGGGUUUGAAAGUUUCCUGUCCCUUUAUAAUUUUUGCAUAUUUGUAGCCUAUAACGGUAUACCACAACAAUAAGCCUUAUUCACAUGGGGAACCACAAUGAGACUACUAGAAAUAAUCACAUGAGGAACAGCUGCAAGAAUGAAUUUGUGGAUGUGGUGUAAAUAAGAAAAUUGUAAAAUGGAAUGCUGGAAUUAUCAUUACUAGUACAGAAGGGGAAAAGUCAGACAUCUUUCUAAGAAAUAUAAAUACUCAGGAAGUUAAAUACUUCAUAAUCAAUCCUGGAAUAUAUGACAGACUAAAUUUAUAACCUGUUGCAAUACUACCAAAGAGCAACAUCUCCUAAUUAAAAUAAUAAUUCAGAUCCAUAUUUGAAACCUUUCAAAUGUGACCAGUGAUCAAUGUGACUUAGGAUUUCUUACAAGGUUGAAAUUUGUUUAGUUGUUAAGCACAUUGGUCUUUGAGGAGGAUACCUGUGAGCGAAUGAAUCAGAUUCCACUGUCUUGUAUUUUCCAAUGAAACAUGAUGAAUGGAAGCUCAUGAACAUUUGUCAGCCUUCCUUUGAAAGGGAGGGAAAAGGUCAUUUUAAGUUUGAUUUCCUUGAUUUUCCUGUAUACUGUUUCAUAUGUACUUACAUUAUCUCAAAAAAGCAAGCAAACAAACAGAAAAGAAAUUUACAUUUAAAACUGCUCUUGCUUGCUAUAUAGGAUUUACAUCAUUUAGAUGUUAUUUCUCUGUCCCCCAAGAACUGUCAUACAGGCCUUGCAUUUAAUUUUAAUUGCAUGUGUGUUCAAAAUUAGUUAGCAACAAAACUAUUGGGUUACUGUCUGUUUGAAAGCUACAGCUGUCUUGUUGUGUGUAGUAGUAUCUGUAGCAACCAUAAAACCUAAGAGCCUUCCAGAAACCUAUUAAGCAAUGUGAGUAAUACAUUUUUGUUUGGGUAUAUAUAUAUAUAUAUUUUUUUUUUACUCAUGGAAAAAUGUGCAUCUGCUGGAAUGUUUUGGCUACUUUUUAAUAAUACAUAUUCCAUCCAUUCAUCCCCCAA